rnacentral:rRNA from 1 species
GACGAACGCUGGCGGCGUGCUUAACACAUGCAAGUCGAACGGAAAGGCCCUGCUUUUGUGGGGUGCUCGAGUGGCGAACGGGUGAGUAACACGUGAGUAACCUGCCCUUGACUUUGGGAUAACUUCAGGAAACUGGGGCUAAUACCGGAUAGGAGCUCCUGCUGCAUGGUGGGGGUUGGAAAGUUUCGGCGGUUGGGGAUGGACUCGCGGCUUAUCAGCUUGUUGGUGGGGUAGUGGCUUACCAAGGCUUUGACGGGUAGCCGGCCUGAGAGGGUGACCGGCCACAAUGGGACUGAGAUACGGCCCAGACUCCUAUGGGAGGCAGCAGUGGGGAAUAUUGCACAAUGGGAGGAAGCCUGAUGCAGCGACGCCGCGUGCGGGAUGACGGCCUUCGGGUUGUAAACCGCUUUCGCCUGUGACGAAGCGUGAGUGACAGUAAUGGGUAAAGAAGCACCGGCUAACUACGUG